UACGAAGGGGGGCUAGCGUUGUUCGGAUUUACUGGGCGUAAAGCGCACGUAGGCGGAUUUUUAAGUCAGGGGUGAAAUCCCGGGGCUCAACCCCGGAACUGCCUUUGAUACUGGAAGUCUUGAGUAUGGUAGAGGUGAGUGGAAUUCCGAGUGUAGAGGUGAAAUUCGUAGAUAUUCGGAGGAACACCAGUGGCGAAGGCGGCUCACUGGACCAUUACUGACGCUGAGGUGCGAAAGCGUGGGGAGCAAACAGG
rnacentral:rRNA from 1 species